UGGCCGGUAGCUCAGCGGUAGAGCGGCUGUUUCACGCACAGCGGGUCGCGGGUUCGAUCCCUGCCCGGCCAACGA
rnacentral:tRNA from 1 species